rfam:Candidatus Profftella armatura, complete genome.
GGAGAUGUGGCCGAGUGGCUAAAGGCACUUCCCUGCUAAGGAAGCAUACGAGUUUUAUUGUAUCGUGGGUUCGAAUCCCACCAUCUCCA